AGUGCUUCUCAGCCUCUUGGCUGAGGUCAAGUGUGGCAUCUGUUCUUAUCAGUUUAAUAUCUGAAAUAUCCAGUUUAAUAUCUGAUUUGCGGUUGCAGUGUUAAAUGGAUUUUUGGUAGAAGGAGAUAGAGUCUGGAGUUUGCUCUACCUGCUCUGUGCAGUCAUCUGGUGUUGCCUCCUUGGGGGUAACAAUUACA